rnacentral:tRNA from 1 species
AGCAGUGUGGCUCAGUUGAUAGAGCACAGGCCUGAGAGUCAGUAGAUCCUGGGUUCUAAUCCCAGCUCCGCCA